rnacentral:rRNA from 1 species
UACGGGGGGGGCAAGCGUUGUUCGGAAUUACUGGGCGUAAAGGGCUCGUAGGCGGCCAACUAAGUCAGACGUGAAAUCCCCAGGCUUAACCUGGGAACUGCGUCUGAUACUGGAUGGCUUGAAUUCGGGGGAGGGAUGCAGAAUUCCAGGUGUAGCGGUGAAAUGCGUAGAUAUCUGGAGGAAUACCGGUGGCGAAGGCGGCAUCCUGGACCGACAUUGACGCUGAGGAGCGAAAGCUAGGGGAGCAAACGGG